rnacentral:rRNA from 1 species
GAUGAACGCUGGCGGCGUGCCUAAUACAUGCAAGUCGAGCGAACAGACGAGUAGCUUGCUCCUCUGACGUUAGCGGCGGACGGGUGAGUAACACGUGGAUAACCUACCUAUAAGACUGGGAUAACUUCGGGAAACCGGAGCUAAUACCGGAUAAUAUAUUGAACCGCAUGGUUCAAUAAUGAAAGACGGUUUUGCUGUCACUUAUAGAUGGAUCCGCGCCGCAUUAGCUAGUUGGUAAGGUAACGGCUUACCAAGGCAACGAUGCGUAGCCGACCUGAGAGGGUGAUCGGCCACACUGGAACUGAGACACGGUCCAGACUCCUACGGGAGGCAGCAGUAGGGAAUCUUCCGCAAUGGGCGAAAGCCUGACGGAGCAACGCCGCGUGAGUGAUGAAGGUCUUCGGAUCGUAAAACUCUGUUAUUAGGGAAGAACAAAUGUGUAAGUAACUAUGCACGUCUUGACGGUACCUAAUCAGAAAGCCACGGCUAACUACGUG